CGGCGCGCCUCUCUCUCUUUCGCAGCUGCGCUUCCUCUCUUCUUACACACCGCGCUGCUGCCCUUUUUCUCUCUGCCGCUCAGCACAGCAGCAACACGACGCCGCAUCUGGCUCCAUCGUUGACGUCAUUCAUCAUCGUCGGCGCGAUGUUUUGAAAGACGAGUGAGUUACGAUGGUUAGGGUUACGAGUCUAUCCUCAACAUGCUCGCCUGUGGCACAUGAAGAUGAAGGACUCCAUGCUGUCUAUGUUUAUUCGUUGUGAAACUCUGAUGAUAUGCUAGCCUUGUGCUAUGCAAUUUGUAAUCCUUUAUGUAAAUUCUGGAUCAUACGAUGUAAUAAAGACCCUUGUUUCUUGGUA